ACGCUCGACACCUACGGGAGGAGCAGUGAGGAAUAUUGGUCAAUGGGCGCUAGCCUGAACCAGCCAAGUAGCGUGAAGGAUGAAGGCUCUAUGGGUCGUAAACUUCUUUUAUAUAAGAAUAAAGUGCAGUAUGUAUACUGUUUUGUAUGUAUUAUAUGAAUAAGGAUCGGCUAACUCCGUGCCAGCAGCCGCGGUAAUCUGAGCGGGCUGGCAAGGC
rnacentral:rRNA from 1 species